AGCAGUAGCCACGGGAAUACGAAGGGGGCUAGCGUUGUUCGGAUUUACUGGGCGUAAAGGGCGCGUAGGCGGACUGAUAAGUCAGGGGUGAAAUCCCAAGGCUCAACCUUGGAACUACCUUUGAUACUGUUUGUCUUGAGUUCGAGAGAGGUAAGUGGAACUGCGAGUGUAGAGGUGAAAUUCGUAGAUAUUCGCAAGAACACCAGUGGCGAAGGCGGCUUACUGGCUCGAAACUGACGCUGAGGCGCGAAAGCGUGGGGAGCAAACAGGAUUAGAUACCCCCGUAGUCCCUGUCUCUUAUCA
rnacentral:rRNA from 1 species